GGGUCCGGACACACUGAGGAUUGACAGGCAAAAGAUACAAGUUUUCUUUGUGAGAGCUUGCAUUGUAAAAUAUGCGAGUCCUUUCAUGAUUAUGUGAUAGGUGGUGCAUGGCCGUUCUUAGUUCGUGGAGUGAUCUGUCUGCUUAAUUGCGUUUCACAACGAUUUAAAAUGCUAUGUUUUCUGUGUUUGCUGUUCGGUUUUGCUCUUACGGGAGUUUUAACUUUGAACGCACACGGCGUAGCUUAAAACAAUCGGAAAGCAACGAACGUGACCGCAACCUCUUGUUGCCUUUAUUUUUAAAAGCGUGGAAAAUUUUAUUUUCCUACGCUUGAAAAAGGCUUUAAAACUAGAGGGACCGCUGUUCUAUUCUCUUAAACCAGAGGAAGAUUGCGGCAAUAACAGGUCUGUGAUGCCCUCAGAUGUUCCGGGCUGCACACGUGCUACAAUGAUUGUUGCAGUGAGCAUCUAUUUUCAAACGCUACCGUUGCGGAUUUUGUGAGAAGGGGGAUUUGUUUUAAAGCUUUCGGCAGAGAAGCAGGUUCUUUUUUUUCACAAUUUAUUCCGCGUUACGUGUCAGCUAAACCUGCUUCGAAAGCAAGUAGGU
rnacentral:rRNA from 1 species